UCAGCUUGUAUUAAGAUGCCUGAUAG
rnacentral:sRNA from 1 species